rnacentral:rRNA from 1 species
GGGGAAUCUUCCGCAAUGGGCGAAAGCCUUAUGGAGCAACGCCGCGUGAGUGAAGAAGGUCUUAGGAUUGUAAAGCUCUGUCCUUAGGGAAGAACCGUGGGUAUAGUUAAUGAUACCCACCUGACGGUACCUUUGGAGGAAGCACUGGCUAACUACGUGCCAGCAGCCGCGGUAAUACGUAGAGUGCAAGCGUUGUCCGGAAUUAUUGGGCGUAAAGGGUACGCAGGCGGAUAAUCAAGUCAAGCGUGAAAGGUGUCGGCUUAACCGACAGACUGCGUUUGAAGCUGGUUAUCUUGAGUGUAACAGAGGAGAGUGGAAUUCCUAGUGUAGUGGUGAAAUACGUAGAUAUUAGGAAGAACACCAGUGGCGAAGGCGACUCUCUGGGUUAACACUGACGCUGAGGUACGAAAGCUGGGGGAGCGAAAGGGAUUAGAUACCCCUGUAGUC